rnacentral:rRNA from 1 species
CCUACGGGCGGCAGCAGUGGGGAAUAUUGGGCAAUGGAGGAAACUCUGACCCAGCAACGCCGCGUGAAGGAUGAAGGUUUUCGCAUUGUAAACUUCUGUCGCGCGGGAUGAAGAAUGACGGUACCUCGUAAGAAAGCCCCGGCAAACUACGUGCCAGCAGCCGCGGUAAUACGUAGGGGGCGAGCGUUGUCCGGAAUGACUGGGCGUAAAGGGGGUGUAGGCGGCGGUGCAAGUCUGAAGUGAAAGCCCAGGGCUCAACCCUGGGACUGCUUUGGAAACUGUGGAGCUAGAGUGCUGGAGAGGUAAGUGGAAUGCGUAGUGUAGCGGUGAAAUGCGUAGAUAUUAGGAGGAACACCAGUGGCGAAGGCGGCUUACUGGACAGUAACUGACGUUGAGGCUCGAAAGCGUGGGGAGCAAACAGGAUUAGAUACCCCGGUAGUC